CGUCGAUGGUUGAAAAUCCAGUAAACUUUCGGGAAAACUUUCAUCUUUGACAAAACAUACUUAAGUUCGUUGUCCAAAAGAUCUUGUUUUUCAUUUAGAGAGCUUUCUUUGUUAAUUUUUUUUAUCAAGAGAACGUUUACUCACAUUUUGGGAAAAACAUCAUUCAACAGUAUUUCUCGUCUAUAAUUCCAAACACUGUAAGUUUCCGGAUUCCAAUCCAAAAGUUCCGUAGUUAACUUUAAGUUUCCUUCUGAGUAGUCUUUUCUUUUUCUCUUAAAAAGUUAAUGAUCAUCACUCUUUCGAAUGCUUUUCUCUUACUGCUUCCUGGAAACGUGAAACCAAUCCUCUGUAUUCUUCAAUUUUUGCCCUUUCUUUUUCGGCUUUGAGCUUCCUUUGCUCUUCCGAUAGUUUGACCCUCAAGAUUCCAUGCUACGCACACUUGUUAGCAACCAUGAUUGGGCAUUUGCUCACCAUCGUGUUCUAUGAACGAAGAUAUUAGUACAGACUAAGAUGUAGGUGCUUGUGAAAGAAAAAUCAAUGAAUCGCAAGGAGUAUGUACAUUUUUUAUGACUCAAUACGCUUCAAAUUAUUCAAUUAAUAUACAUUUAAUAUUACAAAA